rnacentral:rRNA from 1 species
GAUGAACGCUAGCGAUAGGCUUAACACAUGCAAGUCGAGGGGCAGCACAAGGUAGCUUGCUAUCUGGGUGGCGACCGGCGCACGGGUGCGUAACGCGUAUGCAACUUGCCCUAUACAGGAGGAUAACCCGUCGAAAGACGGACUAAUACUGCGUAUGCUCACAACUUGGCAUCAAGUGGUGAGGAAAGAAAUUCGGUAUAGGAUAGGCAUGCGUCCCAUUAGCUUGUUGGUGAGGUAACGGCUCACCAAGGCAACGAUGGGUAGGGGAACUGAGAGGUUGAUCCCCCACACUGGUACUGAGACACGGACCAGACUCCUACGGGAGGCAGCAGUGAGGAAUAUUGGUCAAUGGGCGCGAGCCUGAACCAGCCAAUUCGCGUGAAGGAUGACUGUCUUAUGGAUUGUAAACUUCUUUUAUACGGGAAUAACAAGAGUCACGUGUGACUCCCUGCAUGUACCGUAUGAAUAAGCAUCGGCUAACUCCGUG